GGGGUUGUGACUCAGUGGUAGAGCGCAUGCCUUGCAUGUGUGAGGUGCUGGGUUUGAUUCUCAGCACCGCA
rnacentral:tRNA from 1 species